UCAAGUCAUCAUGCCCCUUAUGUCUUGGGCUGCACACGUGCUACAAUGGCCGGUACAAUGAGCUGCGAUGCCGCGAGGCGGAGCGAAUCUCAAAAAGCCGGUCUCAGUUCGGAUUGGGGUCUGCAACUCGACCCCAUGAAGUCGGAGUUGCUAGUAAUCGCAGAUCAGCAUUGCUGCGGUGAAUACGUUCCCGGGCCUUGUACACACCGCCCGUCACGUCACGAAAGUCGGUAACACCCGAAGCCGGUGGCCCAACCCCUUGUGGGAGGGAGCUGUCGAAGGUGGGACUGGCGAUUGGGACGAAGUCGUAACAAGGUAGCCGUACCGGAAGGUGCGGCUGGAUCACCUCCUUUCUAAGGAGCANNNNNNNNNNNNNNNNNNNNNNNNNNNNNNNNNNNNNNNNNNNNNNNNNNNNNNNNNNNNNNNNNNNNNNNNNNNNNNNNNNNCGAGCUUGCUCGGUGCGUCGUGACUGCGUGCCUUUUGAAGAAUGAGCCUGCGAGUUAGCGGUGUGUAGCGAGGUUAACCCGUGUGGGGAAGCCGUAGCGAAAGCGAGUCCGAACAGGGCGAUUGAGUUGCACGCUCUAGACCCGAAGCGGAGUGAUCUAGCCAUGGGCAGGUUGAAGCGGAGGUAAGACUUCGUGGAGGACCGAACCCACCAGGGUUGAAAACCUGGGGGAUGACCUGUGGUUAGGGGUGAAAGGCCAAUCAAACUCCGUGAUAGCUGGUUCUCCCCGAAAUGCAUUUAGGUGCAGCGUCGUGUGUUUCUUGCCGGAGGUAGAGCACUGGAUAGGCGAUGGGCCCUACCGGGUUACUGACCUUAGCCAAACUCCGAAUGCCGGUAAGUGAGAGCGCGGCAGUGAGACUGUGGGGGAUAAGCUCCAUGGUCGAGAGGGAAACAGCCCAGAGCAUCGACUAAGGCCCCUAAGCGUACGCUAAGUGGGAAAGGAUGUGGAGUCGCAGAGACAACCAGGAGGUUGGCUUAGAAGCAGCCACCCUUGAAAGAGUGCGUAAUAGCUCACUGGUCAAGUGAUUCCGCGCCGACAAUGUAGCGGGGCUCAAGCGUACCGCCGAAGUCGUGUCAUUCAUACACAUAUCCUCAACGGGAGUAUGGAUGGGUAGGGGAGCGUCGUGUGCCGGGUGAAGCAGCCGCGGAAGCGAGUUGUGGACGGUUCACGAGUGAGAAUGCAGGCAUGAGUAGCGAUACACACGUGAGAAACGUGUGCGCCGAUUGACUAAGGGUUCCUGGGUCAAGCUGAUCUGCCCAGGGUAAGUCGGGACCUAAGGCGAGGCCGACAGGCGUAGUCGAUGGACAACCGGUUGAUAUUCCGGUACCCGCUUUGAAACGCCCAGUACUGAAUCAGGCGAUGCUAAGUCCGUGAAGCCGGCCCGAUCUCUUCGGAGUUGAGGGUAGUGGUGGAGCCGAUGAACCAGACUUGUAGUAGGUAAGCGAUGGGGUGACGCAGGAAGGUAGUCCAGCCCGGGCGGUGGUUGUCCCGGGGUAAGGGUGUAGGACGCACGGUAGGCAAAUCCGUCGUGCAUAUAAGUCUGAGACCUGAUGCCGAGCCGAUUGUGGUGAAGUGGAUGAUCCUAUGCUGUCGAGAAAAGCCUCUAGCGAGUUUCAUGGCGGCCCGUACCCUAAACCGACUCAGGUGGUCAGGUAGAGAAUACCGAGGCGUUCGGGUGAACUAUGGUUAAGGAACUCGGCAAAAUGCCCCCGUAACUUCGGGAGAAGGGGGGCCAUUCCUGGUGAUAGCACUUGCUGCUUGAGCUGGGGGUGGCCGCAGAGACCAGCGAGAAGCGACUGUUUACUAAAAACACAGGUCCGUGCGAAGCCGUAAGGCGAUGUAUACGGACUGACGCCUGCCCGGUGCUGGAACGUUAAGGGGACCGGUUAGUGCACUUUCGGGUGUGCGAAGCUGAGAACUUAAGCGCCAGUAAACGGCGGUGGUAACUAUAACCAUCCUAAGGUAGCGAAAUUCCUUGUCGGGUAAGUUCCGACCUGCACGAAUGGCGUAACGACUUCUCGACUGUCUCAACCAUAGGCCCGGUGAAAUUGCACUACGAGUAAAGAUGCUCGUUUCGCGCAGCAGGACGGAAAGACCCCGGGACCUUUACUAUAGUUUGAUAUUGGUGUUCGGUUCGGCUUGUGUAGGAUAGGUGGGAGACUGUGAAGCGGCCACGCCAGUGGUUGUGGAGUCGUCGUUGAAAUACCACUCUGGUCGUGCUGGAUGUCUAACCUGGGUCCGUGAUCCGGAUCAGGGACAGUGUCUGAUGGGUAGUUUAACUGGGGCGGUUGCCUCCUAAAGAGUAACGGAGGCGCCCAAAGGUUCCCUCAGCCUGGUUGGCAAUCAGGUGUUGAGUGUAAGUGCACAAGGGAGCUUGACUGUGAGACCGACGGGUCGAGCAGGGACGAAAGUCGGGACUAGUGAUCCGGCAGUGGCUUGUGGAAGCGCUGUCGCUCAACGGAUAAAAGGUACCCCGGGGAUAACAGGCUGAUCUUCCCCAAGAGUCCAUAUCGACGGGAUGGUUUGGCACCUCGAUGUCGGCUCGUCGCAUCCUGGGGCUGGAGUCGGUCCCAAGGGUUGGGCUGUUCGCCCAUUAAAGCGGUACGCGAGCUGGGUUUAGAACGUCGUGAGACAGUUCGGUCCCUAUCCGCUGCGCGCGUAGGAAUAUUGAGAAGGGCUGUCCCUAGUACGAGAGGACCGGGACGGACGAACCUCUGGUGUGCCAGUUGUCCUGCCAAGGGCAUGGCUGGUUGGCUACGUUCGGAAAGGAUAACCGCUGAAAGCAUCUAAGCGGGAAGCCUGCUUCGAGAUGAGUAUUCCCACCAACUUGAUUGGUUAAGGCUCCCAGUAGACGACUGGGUUGAUAGGCCAGAUGUGGAAGCCCUGUAAGGGGUGGAGCUGACUGGUACUAAUAGGCCGAGGGCUUGUCCUC
rnacentral:rRNA from 1 species